UUCACUUGAUGGAGUUUGGGAGUUGUAAAACUCCUUCACGUUUUGCUCAAAGUGUACCUACUCAUAGAGACAAGGCAGAGAUCAAGUGCAUGGGCCCUGUUGGUGACAAACACCAACAUGACCAAAAGUGUAUUUUUUCUUCUCUAACCUUAAGCAUAGAGAGCAAGACAAAGUUGAUGGAUAAUAAGAUCAUGAGUGUAGCAUUUAAAACAUUUGUCAGAUCAGAUUGCUUGACCUAAUGGAAAGAUAAUCUAUCUAUAUUUAUGUUUUGCUUAUAUCUUCCAAAGAUUGAAUGUGCAACAUUUUAGCUUAUAUGAUUAGGAGUGUGGGAUCACGAAGGUAGUACUAGGAACAAAGAUUAAAGGACUAAACAUGCUGAAUCAGUUGGGUUGGUUAAUUUGGGG
rnacentral:lncRNA from 1 species